rnacentral:ncRNA from 2 species
UUGAGUUAUAGAGGAGCCUCUAACAAUAGUAUAUAGCGGAGCAGGCGUGCUUAGAAACUAUAGAAAGGGUAUAAAGGCCGAAACUCUCUUGAUGGCAAUCAAGACUGUUGAUAAAAAAGCAUAAAAGAUUUUUAUUCUUUGGUAAACCAUUGGUGCUAUAACUUCG